rnacentral:tRNA from 1 species
GUACCCAUAGCUCAACUGGAUAGAGCAGCGGAUUUCUAAUCCGCAGGUUUCAGGUUCGAUUCCUGAUGGGUACG